rnacentral:tRNA from 2 species
GCCGAAGUGGCGGAAUGGCAGACGCACUAGACUCAAAAUCUGGCGCUCGCGAGAGCGUAAGGGUUCAAGUCCCUUCUUCGGCACCA